rnacentral:rRNA from 1 species
GUCACUCCAACCCCUGUGACAUACCAAUUGUUGCCUCGGCGGAUCAGCCCGCUCCCGGUAAAACGGGACGGCCCGCCAGAGGACCCCUAAACUCUGUUUCUAUAUGUAACUUCUGAGUAAAACCAUAAAUAAAUCAAAACUUUCAACAACGGAUCUCUUGGUUCUGGCAUCGAUGAAGAACGCAGCAAAAUGCGAUAAGUAAUGUGAAUUGCAGAAUUCAGUGAAUCAUCGAAUCUUUGAACGCACAUUGCGCCCGCCAGUAUUCUGGCGGGCAUGCCUGUUCGAGCGUCAUUUCAACCCUCAAGCCCUCGGGUUUGGUGUUGGGGAUCGGCGAGCCCUUGCGGCAAGCCGGCCCCGAAAUCUAGUGGCGGUCUCGCUGCAGCUUCCAUUGCGUAGUAGUAAAACCCUCGCAACUGGUACGCGGCGCGGCCAAGCCGUUAAACCCCCAACUUCUGAAUGUUGACCUCGGAUCAGGUAGGAAUACCCGCUGAACUUAAGCAUAUCA